AUUGAACGCUGGCGGCAGGCCUAACACAUGCAAGUCGAACGAGUGGCGGAAGGGUGAGUAAUGUCUGGGAAACUGCCUGAUGGAUGGGGCUCCGUACUGGAAACGGUAGCUAAUACCGCAUACCACCAGUUGGGCCGCGCUGGGAUUAUCUAGUUGGUGGGGUAACGGCUCACAAAGGCAACGAUCCCUAGCUGGUCUGAGAGGAUGACCAGCCACACUGUAACUGAGACACGGUCCAGACUCCUACGGGAGGCAGCAGUGGGGAAUAUUGCACAAUGGGCGCAAGCCUGAUGCAGCCAUGCCGCGUGUAUGAAGAAGGUCUUCGGGUUGUAAAGUACUUUCAGCGGGGAGGCGUUACCCGCAGAAGAAGCACCGGCUAACUCCGUGCCAGCAGCCGCGGUAAUAC
rnacentral:rRNA from 1 species